AAGACCAUACAGAGUUUGGUACAAGUCAAUCCUUUUCAACAAGCCAUCACUUUUGCCAGUACUGCUAAUUUAGCCUAUCGAAGGGGAUUCAUGCCUGAAGACAGUAUUGCCAUCAUACCGAAUUUGGGAUAUGACCCAGCCCGACAAUUUUCAAUGAAAGCUUGUCGUUGGUCAGCUUGGAUGAGUCGAGACGGGCGGGUGAUAUACCAUGCUAAAAAUGGUGGAGAAAUAAAUUUAGGGCCUUAUACCGUAGACGGUUACGAUCCAGAAUCGAAUACCGUGUACGAAUUUCAUGGAUGUUACUGGCACGGAUGCCCUCAAUGUCAUUCUGAUUAAGAGAAUGAAAAUCAUUCUAAUCGAGGCGAUUGUACUAACGGGACGUUGUACGAACAGACUUUAAUUAGAGAACAACAUUUGAGAGAACAGGGGUAUAAAGUAGUUUCUAUUUGGGAACACGAUUUUGAUUUGGAAAUGAAAAAUAAUCAUGAAUUGCAAGAGUUUGUGGGCAAUUUAAAUUUUCAAGACCCUUUGAAUCCUAGGGAAGCUUUGUAUGGGGGGCGCACAAAUGCCACGCGUUUAUUUUGUACCGAGGGAGACAUGAGAUAUGUAGACGUUUGUUCUUUAUAUCCUUUUGUUUUGAAACAUAGACCUUUUCCCAUGGGUCAUCCAGAAAUCAUUACGGAGAAUUUUGAGGAGAUUUCUAAUUAUUUCGGGUUGAUUCAAUGUCAGGUUUUACCCCCUCGGGGUCUCUAUCAUCCCGUUUUACCCUACCGUACUGGAGGACAAUUAUUGUUUCCCAUAUGUCGUACUUGUGCUCAAAAACUUUGUCAAGAUUCUCAUUAUCGCUGUCAGCAUACAGAUUCUGAACGCUGUAUCGCGGGAACUUGGGUGACUAGCGAACUUCAAAAACCAUUAGAAUGCGGAUACCAGUUAAAGAAAAUUUACGAAGUGUGGCAUUUUCCAGAAAAAAAGUCAGGAUCUCUUUCGCAGUUACAUUGACACGUUUUUGAAAAUCAAACAGGAAGCCUCUGGAUAUCCCCCCGAUUGCGAGACCGAGGAACAACGGGUAGCUUACAUCCGCGACAUAUUUGAUCGAGAUAAAUUGAUGUUGAACCCUAUAGAAAUCGAGAAAAAUCCCGUGAAACGAACUAUUGCCAAGUUAUUUUUGAAUUGUUUGUGGGGAAAAUUUGCUCAGCGCCUUCAAUUACCUAAAAUUGAAUAUUUGAAGGAAGAACAAUUAACGAGAAUGUUACAAGACAGUACUCUUGAAAUCAAAGGAGUGGAGUUAUUAAAUAACUUGAAACAACACGAACGCGAUCUGAUUUUAAUUAAUUACCUGGAAAAACAGGAUUUCAUCGAAGACUGCCCCUUUGGAAACGUGGUGUUAGCUGCUUUUACACAUGCUCAUGCUCGUUUACAUUUAAACGACACCUUAGAAAAAUUAGGAGAUCGGGUUCUUUAUUUCGAUACCGACAGUAUUAUUUAUCAACACGUGGAAGGUUUGUAUAAUCCUACUAUAGUCAAUAGUUUAGGAGGAUUGACCGACGAAUUGGAGGGAGGUCACAUUACCAAAUUCAUGUCUGGAGGCCCUAAGAAUUAUGCAUUUGAAACGGAUACUGGAAAGAGCGUGCAAAAAGUCAAAGGGCUUACUUUGAAUCAUCGAGCCUCUCAAAUCGUAACCAUGAAGGCUUUAGAGAAAAUGAUUUUUAAAGAAUUGGAAGAAGUGACGGUCACUUAUCCUCAUAAAAUCCAGAGAACCAAGAGACAUGAAUUAUUGACCAAACAUUUUACUAAGAAAUAUCAAAUUGUAUAUGAUAAACGGCAGAUCAUUGAUGAUUUUAAGACUCUUCCUUUUGGUUAUUAAACUUGUUUGUUCAAAUAAAAUAUAUG
rnacentral:sRNA from 1 species